rnacentral:lncRNA from 10 species
GGGCCACAGUCUACCAUAAACACGGAGAGGUCUUCGGGGACAUGCUGGGUCGCUUCCCUGCAGGGAAGUCAGCCAGCCUCCUGCACACACCUGCACUCUCCCUGCUGCUGGGACCCUGCACUAGGGGAGGGCUGGGGGCUCUGCUCAGAGCGCCUCCUGCUCCGCCUGCUGUGCAGCAGAGGGGCCCCGAGGGCCUGCUUAUUCUGCAAGUUCAUUUCAGCUCUUUUAUUCAGGGGGCUUAAAAGAGGGAUUUGGCUGUCCAGCUUGGGAGAGAAUGGCUGCCGGCCUGCUGAGCCUCCCUUUUUCCCAGGAUUAGGGCAGAGCCCUGUCGAGGUCAGCGCAGGGUCUGCCCAGCCAGCAUGCGGCGCCCCCAGGAUGCAGCAGGACUCUGCCCAUCUGUGUCCUUUCAGGGGCUUGGCCCACUCACUGCUGGUGUUCUCAGCUCACGGCUCAGCCUGGGUCCUCCUCCCUGGGCCCAUCUAGAACCCCAUAAACUCCUAGAUCUCCCUCUGGUGAUGAGCCUUGAACACCAAACCAGGAACCUGGAGGACUGACUUUCAACUCAGGCUCAGGUGGGCAGAAGGUCACAGAAGUGAGGCUGGGAGGGACCACGCUGGCAACCGGGACCUCUGCUGUGCCACCGUGAUGCACAGGCUGACAUGACACCACCCCUAAGGAAGCAGGACCCGGCUGUUUGGUUCUUUGGGGAACACUGAGAGCAGCCCUCCUGGGCAGGGCCCGUGAGCCGAGGCUGCCUACUCCUCCUGCCGCCCUGUCCUCAAGCCAGCGUUAAAGCCACCACCCCCCAUAUGUUUUCCUCAAAGCAAACAAGCUGGCAUCUAGUGAGAAACAAAAACAAUGACCCAGGGAAAUGUGGAAACCAAGGACUAGCCCAAGUGUUCUCAGCUCAGCAGAGGCUGGGGGCUUCGGCUGGGGCUGGUGUCUGGGGAGACAAGCUCCUGCGGUGUUGGGAGGCGCACAGUAGGGAAGAGUCAGGCCAGGUCGGGGUCGGGGCACAGCGGUGAGCCUGGAGACCCCAGUGGCUGUCACUCACAAGACGCCCCAGGCAGGCAGGUGGGGAUCCCUGUCCUGCAUCCACAGGACACGAGUGGACAGGGUCUCUCCAACACAGUCCCUGAACCAGGACGGAGGGUGAAUGAACAGCCAGCUUCUGUAGCUGCAGAAAGAGCGCCUACUGUUUCUAACACCAGCAGCAGAAAGCGCUUCCUCCCGCCCUGGGUGGCUACAGGAGCAGGGCCUGCCAGGGGUUCAAGCACCACUUUCUACUUCCAGUUGGAGCCAGGGCAAAAAGGGGAGUCACCCAAAGGCUCAGUGCCACAAAUAGGGGCAUCCCCCCCGGCUGCUCAGGCACAGGACCCUGCAAAUCUCCCACAAGUGUCAGUUAUGCCUCCUUCUAGGUGGACCUCAAACGAGAUAAUGCCCAACAGGGCAAGGGUGACUAAAACCCACCAUGACGAAACAACAGGGCAGAGCAAGCAGCCCUCUGGGGCCCCGCGCUGCCAACACACCUCGCUUAUCAGUCUCAAACACGCCGCCUGCUGCCAGCCCUUCCUCGUGAGGCGCCUGGGGUUGGAGUAUCAGCUCUGCGAGGAGGAAACAGGGAAGCUUCGGGACCAAGUGGCAGCUGUCUGGCCUGCGGGAUGCCUGCCUGUUGCAAGGCUCCGUGUGCCAGGAGAUGCCACAUAAAGGAAUGCUUCCCAUCCCUCCGGCUCUGCCAGCCUUCUCUGCCCUGAGUGUUUCCCCUGUGCUGACCGCUACUGCAGCCAGGGCACACCCUCUGAAGGCUCCAAGCAGGGCUGGCUGGGCAGCCUGGGCAGCAGGAGGGCCUGGUGGCAGCUGGGCUACACUCCCUCUUAAGGCCAGAGGGAGCCACCACUUGCUCUGGCAGCCACUCAGGAACCCCUGAGGACCCUGAGAAGCCUCCAACCAAGGCACUACUGAGCGUGGGGUUGGGAGGGACUCUGGUUGCCCUGGUUCGCAGGUGGGCACUACCAAGCGUGGGGUUGGGAGGGACUGGUUGCCCUGGUUCGCAGGUGGGAAGUGUGGUUUUGGAAGGAGUUGGGUGAACCUGAGAUAGAAAGACGGGAAAAAUAUGGGAUCAUCAGUAGCCCUCCUGGGCUUCCCUGCCUUCCUCCUGCCAAACCUAGGAAGGGAAAGGGGAGGAGAGGUGGCCAGCCUCAGAGCUC